rnacentral:misc_RNA from 1 species
GUAGGUGAACCUGCGGAAGGAUCAUUUCUGUUUCUCUAUGAUUAUGCUGAUGUGUUAUCUACCAUCUUCAUCAUUCAUAACUAAACACUAUUAAAAGUCAACCGUGUGCAAGUGUCCUUACUGAUUUGUGUAGGGAGAGGGAGUGAGGGUGUCUAAAAUUCAAUACAUAAAGGAUGAGUGUGUGUUGUGUUGUUGUGUGUUGCCCUAUUCUAGCAAUGGGGCAGCCUCCACACACACACUCGUCUGUUGUUUUUUUGUUCCACCUUCCAACCCCAACCUCACAGUCAGUUUUUUUUAAAACAAAAACCUUUGAUAAAACACAUCUAUACAUGUUGUCGAAAGACUAAUAUACAAAAAAUAUAACUAAGAAACACAGUUUUAACGGUGGAUCUCUUGGCUCGU